UACGUACUGUGCAAACGUUAUUCGGAAUUACUGGGCUUAAAGGGUGUGUAGGCGGCUGGUUAAGUAGGGUGUGAAAGGCCUCGGCCUAACCGAGGCAUUGCGCUCUAAACUGACUGGCUUGAGUGAGAUAGGGGUGUGCGGAACUUCCAGUGGAGCGGUGAAAUGUGUUGAUAUUGGAAGGAACGCCGGUGGCGAAAGCGGCACACUGGGUCUCGUCUGACGCUGAGACACGAAAGCCAGGGGAGCGAACGGG
rnacentral:rRNA from 1 species